GACGAACCGUACGAACGUUAUUCGGAAUUACUGGGCGUAAAGCGUGCGCAGGCGGCUUCUCAAGUCAGGGGUGAAAGCCCAGAGCUCAACUCUGGAAUUGCCUUUGAGACUGAGUGGCUUGAGUACGAGAGAGGUGAGUGGAAUUCCCAGUGUAGAGGUGAAAUUCGUAGAUAUUGGGAAGAACACCGGUGGCGAAGGCGGCUCACUGGCUCGUAACUGACGCUGAGGCGCGAAAGCGUGGGGAGCAAACAGG
rnacentral:rRNA from 1 species